UGGCGGCGUGCUUAACACAUGCAAGUCGAACGGUAACGGCCCGUUCGGGUACACGAGUGGCGAACGGGUGAGUAACACGUGGGUGAUCUGCCCUGCACUUCGGGAUAAGCCUGGGAAACUGGGUCUAAUACCGGAUAGGACCAUGGACUUCACGGUUUGUGGUGGAAAGCUUUUGCGGUGUGGGAUGGGCCCGCGGCCUAUCAGCUUGUUGGUGGGGUAAUGGCCUACCAAGGCGACGACGGGUAGCCGGCCUGAGAGGGUGUCCGGCCACACUGGGACUGAGAUACGGCCCAGACUCCUACGGGAGGCAGCAGUGGGGAAUAUUGCACAAUGGGCGCAAGCCUGAUGCAGCGACGCCGCGUGAGGGAUGACGGCCUUCGGGUUGUAAACCUCUUUCAAUAGGGACGAAGCGCAAGUGACGGUACCUAUAGAAGAAGCACCGGCCAACUACGUG
rnacentral:rRNA from 1 species